rnacentral:lncRNA from 1 species
AAAUUACUAGUGGAAAUGGCUAUCCGUGUCCCUAGAAUUAUGCAUGCUAAGCAGAUUCUUCGUCAAUCUAAACUGUUUGCAAAUCAAGCAGCCUCCACCUCAACGGAUGUUCCCAAAGGAUACUUUGCAGUUUAUGUUGGGGAGAGCCAGAUGAAGCGAUUUGUAGUUCCAAUUUCAGUCUUGAAUCAGCCUUCAUUUCAGAAAUUGUUAAGUAUUGCUGAGGAAGAAUUCGGAUUCAAUCAUCCUAUGGGUGGUCUCACAAUUCCUUGCAGAGAAGAGGUCUUCAUUGAUCUCACUUCCCGCUUGCAUUAGCUUGCUACAGCUAAAAGUAAUCAGCAGAUACAAUUUUUUGUCUAUUCAUGUACAUCCUUCUGUUUUUUUUUCGGUAGAAAGAGAUGAUGAGCAAAUGUAUACACUUCUGAGAAAUUUUUUUUAAUACAAAUUACAGUUGUUUAGGCAAAGUACGUAAUCCUAAUUUUCCCAAGAAAAUAAGUGUGCAGAAACUAGAAAACCCUGAAAGGAUGAAAAAUCAGAAUAUCACAUAUCCUAUUGCUGUUAGUCAGUCUUUAACUAUUCGAUACAACCAAUAAAAAUCUGGAAAAACAGUAACAAUUUGGCAAUCAAUUUUUUAUUUUAAAAAGAAAAACAGUAAGAAUUUCUAAAAAGAUGAGCUUAGGUUAAAUUUGAUUUAAAACGAGUCCGGUCAUCAUAUUUUAUAUGGUUUAGUGGAAAGGUCCCUGCCCAACCCGUUUUGCAUCCACAGAUACAAGCCCUCUUAUAUGGGGUGUAGAGGAGCAGAACAAGUAGACAUUUUGAAAAUUUUCUUUUUGCUCCGCAAAAAUUUAAGGGAUAAAAUAAAAUCUCUGAAUCCUCGCUAUCAAGCCCCAAAUCUUUUCCAAGUAUAUUUUGGAUGAAAGAAAAAUAUAUUGAUUUGAAUAUGAUUAUCCUGUUUAAAAUAUUGGUUAUCUUCAGGACAAACAUCGGAAACCUCAACUUUGCAUGCCUUAGAUCCUAAAGAAAAUAACUCUAACUUAGACAAUCGAAUGUCGAGAUGAAUUUUGUUUGACUUGGUUUUUUAUCUCCCAUGAAAAGGGAAAUUAUGCUUGUCUGGAAAACAGGGAGUGGACCAAUCAUCUUUUUCCCUUUCCUUUAGAGCGUCGUGGUUUAUUCUCUCUUCUAUUGGAAACUCACCAAACAUUUAUCUUAAGCAUGUUCCUAAUCAAAACGACAGUUAGGUUUGCAUUAUGUAUGGUCGUCGAGCAUCCAGCUGUCAAUUCCUAAUCUGUAGCUUGUCUACCAUUGGCCUUCAUCCUACACUGUAGGGCCUUUCGUUUCUCAACAUGCACAUACAAUAUAAAUCCCGAGGCCCCCAUCUUUGUUAUUGGUUAUUUGGCUGGUAAACAAGACUAUGUGAAGGCCGAGGCUAUCAUCAAUUAUGUCCCAAACAAGCAAACCCCAGAAAAUGAUUCUCAGCCUUUCAGUUUCACUUCAAGAAUUAUAGCAUUUCAUGUAACCAUUCCAUCUAUAUAUAUCCCCUCAUUUCUGUCACAGGCUCAUCACACCCAGCUCACGAGUUUUCUUUAUCUAGCAAUUCUCUUUAAUCUUUUAUAUAAAAAGAACUAAAGAAGAAAAGAAAACUAAGAUUUGUCAGGUCUUUGAUCUUCAUCUUAAAGAUUUUUUCCUCGCUUUUUUGCUAACUUGAUGGCUGCUUUUUCUUCAUAAAACCCUUAGUUUAAAGUUUCCAUUCAAUUUCUUUAAAAGUUCCUUUAAAUAAGCUCUAAAAAAAUAAAAUUUGAGUUAAAUCCGGAAUCAGAGUGCUCGAGAUAUCGUGUCAGCACCGCAGCCUCACUUUUCUAGCACUGCAGCACCAACUCUUAAAUUUAUCAUCAGAAGCAAUGGCUACUCGCUUUCUUGCUAAGCAAAUUUUGCGCCGUUCUGUUUUUGCUGCAAGUAAAGCAGCUUCAAUAACUGGAGAUGUAGUACCAAAAGGCGUCCUUGCAGUUUAUGUUGGAGAAACCCAAAAGAAGAGAUUUUUGGUUCCAGUAACUUUCUUGAACCAACCUUCAUUUCAAGCUUUGCUGAGUAAAGCUGAAGAAGAGUUUGGCUUUGAUCAUCCUAUGGGUGGUUUGACAAUUCCAUGCAGAGAAGAGACUUUCAUUAGCGUCACUUCCCAGUUGAACGGGUUAGAAUAGGCAAGUAAAUCCAUUGAAGAUAGCCUAUAAUAGAUGAUGGAUGACUCAUCGCUUCUGCCCGGAACCACAAUUGCGCUAUUUUCAACGGUGUAACAUCUGCAAAAGGUCAUUCAUUUUUCAAAUACGACGGGGUGACUUAAAGGGGAGAUUUACCGUUUACGCUGGAGAAGACCAAAAGAGACGCUUCCAAGUCCCAAUUCCAUGUGGUUGAAGCCUUUGAAAAAAUCGGAUCAAAUUAGGCCUGGCAACGUCUCACGAGAGACGAGCCAGAGAAGAUGAAAACAACUGAACGUACUGUAAUUUUGUAUUUUUUUUUUUUGAAGGAGAAGAAGAAAAUUUUAUUCUUUUUCUUAUCAAUUGCAAAUAUCAAAAUUAAGUCCAUUAUUCCUUUUCCCUAUUUUCGUCAAGUCUGUUUCCGUUUAUAAGCACUCGCAUGAGUUGGCUAACUCAUCUCAAUGCAAGCAUAUAUUGUAACACUUAUGACAACCCUUUUUAUUGAUCAUCAUGGCCAUAUUUGCGAUACCCUAAAGUCUACAAAAAGCCAAAGAUCAUAUAAGGCUUAACAUUCAAAAUAUCAUUGUCUAGGUGCUUUCUUUUUUUAAAAAAAAAAACAGGUACUCUUCUUUUUAUCUUAUUUUAUAAUCGAUCUUACCCUUAAACUCAUGUGUCCAGAGUAUGGAUUAAAUAGAGGCAGGAGGUACAUAAUUCUCUUUGAGAUUUGAGUUGAAAAUUUUUUUACCUUUUCUUGUUUAAUUCUCAAUUUAUUGCAAAUACAAAGAUUAGUUUGAUUUUCAGUUUGUACAAGAAAUAAAUUAUUAAGAAGUUCCCUUAAAAAUAAUUAAGGUAAAGUGUGUGGUCAAGAUUUGUAACAUUGAUGGCUAGGCUACCUGAGAGUGCUCUAAGCCUCAAACGUUGCUGCUCGUGCUCCAAGUCACAAUGAAGAGAAAGUUUGAGGUGUGGCUGCCAACCUUUCGUUCUUUAUUUGUCUGCAACAAUUCGAUUACUUCUUCAAAUUUCAAUUUGGCGGUUCGUGGUAGGUCUGGUUGUGACUGGAGGUACUAGUAGGGCGUACUUCACGUGUACUUCACAGGGCUUUGUCUUGCAAGUUGAUGCCUGGAACAUUGAAUGCCAAAAUCAUUGAUAUUAGUAGUUUUUUGAGGGAGAAAAAUUCAAUUGGAUUCAAAACUUGUGAUCCAAAGACAAAGGGAUUUUUAGAUAUUCCUCAGGUAUUACACCAAUUAAUUAUGUGUCCAUAACAAGAAAUAAUUGAUAUCAAGAAAUUUUCAAUUGGAUGCUAGUCGUAGAAAUGUCCUCUAAGAAACCAGCCAGAAAAAUCAAGAAAAUAGCAAGUUUUUUAUGUUUAACCAUCUCAUUCAUCUAUCUACCCAUGUAUUAAUCCAUAACAAGUCCUUUACUUCAAUUAAAAAGUUGAUUGGUUUGCUUUAAUCAGUAAAAGUAGUUACGGUUACAGUGCCAAUUUCUUUUCUUAAAAAUACCAGAAAUAAAGGGAAAACUAUCAACUUUCAAUCACUUUCGCUUGUGUAUUAUUGCUGUCAAAUUGUUACAACCAAAACAUAAUAACCAAACAUGUUUUCUUUUUUAGUCAAGUCAACAUUGAAGGUCACGUUAAACCAUGUUUUACGUUUCCUAUCAUUGUAUGACAGAUUAUAUGUCUCAGGCUUGCCACAAAUGGCGUAGUAGUACUACUCUUAUACUGUGAAAUAAAGCUUUUUACGGAUCCAAAUCGUGGGUCCUGAGUCGGUCUGUCUUGCCGGAAGGGCUAGGCAAACUUUUCUUUCCAGUCUUUGUUGCUGGAAUUUUUUAUAAAGUGUUAGAAGACAACACCAUGUGAUCCCCUCAUCAACCCGUCUCUCUCUCAUUACUGGUCAGACCCCAGCAACUGCCCCUUCACCACUCAUUCCACAUCCCCCACAUAAUAGAGGAAAAAAAUCCCUCGUACCCUUUCAUCUAUAUAUACAAGUAAGAAUAAGUCCACUGGCAACACAUAUUUUCACAUUCUCAAGUACUAGUAAAGUUGUUUACCUACGCUUUCCAAGUUUUUUUGAGAUCUUCCUCGUCUUCCUUUCCAGAGGCACACAUCCAUCAAAAAACCAUGGCUAUCCGCCUUCCUCGUAUUGUUAGUGCUAAGAAAGUUCCCAAGGGCUACUUCGCAGUUUAUGUUGGAGAAAAUCAGAAGAGGUUUGUGAUACCAGUGUCAUUCUUGAACCAGCCUUCUUUUCAAAAUCUUCUGGACUUAUCAGAAGAAGAGUUCGGCUAUAGUCAUCCAACUGGCGGUCUCAGAAUUCCCUGUGAUGAAGACAUGUUUCUUGAUGUCACCUCUCGCUUGAAUUGAUUACCAGAGAAUUAACACUAAUCAGCCUAUACAAUUUUGUAGAGCAAGCUAAUACCAUGUAAACAAACUGGUUUUAGCAUCUUUUUUGCCUUGGGGAGCAGUUAUAAUUCUCCCUAAGUGGAAAAUUAGAGAUGGUGUUUCUGUAACUUCUAUCAAACCAUUCAAUCACUUUAGACAAUGAUAGUAUGAAAAGCAUGAUUCAAUUACAAUUUUCUUUUCUUCUUAGAAUUUUCUAUGAUCCUUUUUUCCUGUUUAAUCUUUAAUUUAAUUUUACAUGAUUUAUCUUGAUCUAAAAUUAAGUCGUAUUAUUCAUUUCCUUUUGCAUAUCUGUAUAAAAAAUGAUCAUAAUUUUCUUUGAAAUAGAAAAAGAAAAUUUUCUUUCGUAGAUUUGACGAUUAAUUAAAUUAAUAUAUAUAUACAUAUAUAUAUAAAAUGAUUUGAGCCUUAGGCCAAAUAGUUAUUUUACAAGUGGAAGACAUGGCUGAUAGCACCUCCAAAGCAGGGGCUAGAUCACAUCAUUUGGCUCAAGGCAAUAAAAUAAAUAGGGCCAAUCCACAUUUAUCAGUAAUAUCACAAAUUAAACUUGCCUAAUCUAAACCUUGUUUUCCCAUUAUUUCAUUUACAUGUUUUGGUUUUACUUUACUCUUUAAUAAAGAAAUUUUAAUAUUGUUAACGACAAUAUUUUAGAUUCUCUAACUCCACUCUUAUAUAUGUAGCAAAUUAUACUGGGAAUGUGGUUGCGCAUCAUCUCCUUUCUGUUGACCAAGAUCGUUGAACAAGUCAAAUAGUUACUCGUAGGUUCAGCAAAGGAAUUCACCCCUGUACUAUUGAUGUAACAAUAUUAAUCAAGAAAACUAAAACUAGGGGAAAAAAGUCCAUGACAUGUAGCUUGAAAAUUAUUUAUUUUUAAUAAUUCUGCACCUAUAAUUAAUUUUUUUCUCUAGUUGACUGAUAGAAUGAAAUACUAUAUUUUCUUAUAUCUUAGAACAUUUUUGCUAGAUUUGAUCAUUCCGAAAACAAAAUCACAUGCUUGGUGGCUUAAUGUUCCCAUAAAAUAUUUCAUUCUUGCUUUCCAAAAAAAAAAAAUUUCAUCCUUAGCAAUUAGGACCCAGAUUUUAUCAUCACUUCUCUAGGAUGUGUCAAGCAGCAUCAUCACAUGAGCCGAUGACUGCCUUGUUCUAGUGUCUGGCGGUGUUGCAAAUAAACAGGGUAUAGAUCGCAUGCAAAUGUUGACUAUGAUGAAUUGAUGAUAUAGACUAAUCCACAUAAUUGUCUCUACAAUUUUUAUCCAUUAAUAAAACUGAUGGAUUAUAUUACCAGAAGCUGGUCCAGUGAGAGAUCAAUUCAGGGUGGGGCAGCCUCUGGUUUGUUCUGCCAUGCCAAGUGGUGGGUUAUGAAUUAUGAUCAUAGAUCUCAAAAUAAAAGAAAUAAUAGUACGGAAAUUUGUUUCAAAUUUGUUUACUUUCUGGUAGGCAAAUCCAUGUAAAAUUGUGAUGGUUCCCUCAUGAUUUAUGUCAAUGGACCACAUUCACAAGUUUCGCUUCACUUGUUGCAAGAAUGUAGUAUUUACCAUUUGCUCUAUAUAUAUAGUGAUAGAAAGGGUGCGUCCCACUGUCUGAUAUAUAUUUUUAUGCAUUAGCAAUUAAACAGCCUUAGAUACAUAUCCUGCAUGCCAUUACAUUUAUCUUCAAAUCCGUCCUUUAAUACAUUACAACAAAAUUCCUUUUGAUUUUUUGAUAAAUUUUAAGUUUUUUAGGGAAUAAUAAUAUUAUCUGCAAGAACGAAACCAGUAGAGAAAAAUUCGUGUCUCUGGAAGAGUAGAUGGAAAACACGGCUACAGGUCAACCCAACUACAAAAAGAAAGCAUUAGCAUAAAACUGUAGAGAAACAUGGACCAAUAAUAUAAGUGAGACCUGGAUCCACUCUCCAUUACUUGGGUCGUGCCUGGUUACAUGGUCUUUUUUUCCAGAGCCACUAACAACUAAUAAAAUUAAAAUACAAAGCAAAAAAUAAAACUAAUUAGACAACUUAGAAACGCUGCCGCAUAGGUUCAAUUUUAAAGUGAACCACGUGAUAUUCUUCUUCCUUGCUUUAAAACACAUUGGCGCGAAUAGCCAUUCAUGCGCAGACACAGCUCAACUCCUAACAGUUUUGACCUGAUAUCUUAAUUCUCCUCCUUAACCCAACCUUUUACCCAAAGAGCUCGGAUAUCAAGAAGGUGAGAACGAGGCUUUAUUAUUUAGUCAAUUUAUGCAGAAAACGCAACAAAUAUGCCAUCAGAAAUGCGCGUUAAAACAGAAAUCUUCGGUGAAAUCCCAAAAUAAAUAAAAACACAAGGGUUCACAUAUACCGGAAAUUUUGUAGUCGUCAAUCGUAACCCGUAUAGUUGGGUUCUGAUGAGGACUAGUUGUAGCCUGUAGGACACACUUCGGGCGCUCUUCAGAAGGGUUCGUCUUACGAGUUAAUCCACCGAACGAACGUACGCAUGUGAUUUGAGUUGGGACAUGUUAUAAAUACUCCUUUAGCGCCUGCUAACUUUGGUGUUUGUUACUGUUUAAGCUUCUUGUACGGUUGUAUAACUGCUUUGGGAAAAGGCCAGCUAGAUUGCUUAAAUAUGAAGAGGCCUGUUAGAUCGACCCAAAAUAUAUUUAUAUCACACACAUAUUUACUACUAUCUAAGCAUGUCAUCGACAAUUUUCGGUAGAAUUACAAGAAACGUAACUUUCUUCUCUUAUUUCUACUUGAUUUCAAAUGGGUCCAUUAACUGUUGGUCAUUCUUUGAGAAUUUCUAACAGAUGCACAUUACAAUCAAUAGUCACCAAUUUCUUGAUGAUCUGGAAGACACAGCUAUGUGAUUCUGAGCUUCUUAUGUCUUUUAACGAAACCCCACAAAAUGCAACUUCACCACUCAGUCUGCAGGUCAUUAGUUUCCUAUGUACAUUCUUCCAUCUAUAUAUACAAGUGCAUUAAUCACACAACAGCCAAGGCAUUCUCACAUCCUCCUCUACUACCGAAUCCUAGAAUUCUUGUUUCAAGUCUCCUCUGAUCUUCUCCAUACUCCAAAUUACUAGUGGAAAUGGCUAUCCGUGUGCCUAGAAUUAUGCAUGCUAAGCAGAUUCUUCGUCAAUCUAAACUGUUUGCAAAUCAAGCAGUCUCCACCUCAACGGAUGUUCCCGAAGGAUUCUUUGCAGUUUAUGUUGGGGAGGGCCAAAAAGAGCGAUUUGUAGUUCCAAUUUCAGUCUUGAAUCAGCCUUCAUUUCAGAAGUUGUUAAGUAUUGCUGAGGAAGAAUUCGGAUUCAAUCAUCCUAUGGGUGGUCUCACAAUUCCUUGCAGAGAAGAGGUCUUCAUUGAUCUCACUUCCCGCUUGCGUUGGCUAACUAGAACUAGAAGUAACCCGCAGAUGCAAUUUUUUUGUUCAUUCAUGUACAUCCUUCUGUUUCUUUGGCAGAAAGAAAUGAUGAGCAAAUGUAUACCCUUCUGACAAAUUUUUUUAAUACAAUUAACAGCGGUUCAAUUGUCAAAUUUUGCUUUCACUUACUCUAAUUAAAGACAUUGUUUCUGUUGAUAUUGUUCCUUUCCAACAUAUUGUGUAACAUUUUCGUUUCUUUCAAAAAAUGACAAUUUUCAAUUACUAUUAAUUAUUGAAGUAAAAAAUAACUACGACUUAUUAAUUUCUUGAGUCAUUAAUAAGAUGUCCGGAUCCACUCCAUCAAAAUCCACUUAUCUCCAAUUUUCGUGUUUGAACUUGAAGCAAUCGGGUAAUAGCAUUGGAAGCUUAUCGCAGAACUCCAAUUCAAACCUUGUACCCCACCUACUUUUCUAGGAAAAGUAAUGUAAGCUUUUCCAAGAAAAUAAGUGUGUAAAAACUAGAAAAUGUUAAAAGAAAAAAACUCCGAAAUAUCACAUAUGCUAUUGUUGCUAGUCAAUUUUUAAUUUUUGGCUACAACCAAUAAAAAUCUCAUGAAAAUCAGUAACAAUUUGGCAAUCCUUUUUUUUUUUUACAAAAAAAGAAAGAUAAACAGUAAAAAUUUCGGAAAGAUGGGCUUAGGUCAAACUUGAAUUGAAACGACUUCGGGCAACAUAUGCCACUGGGUUUAGUGAUAUGGUCCCCGGCCCAACCCAUUUCGCAUCCACAGGUAUAAGCCCUAUUAUUUGGGGUGCAGAGGAGCAGAUCUAGUAGACUUCAUCAGUUUGAAAAUUUUCAUUUUGCUAAUUAAGCAAAAAUUUAAGGGAUAAAAUAAAAUCUGUGAAUCCUCAAGAUCAAGGCCCAAAUAUACGUUUAGGAUAAAAGAAAGAUAUAUUGAUUUGACUAUGAUAAUCCUGUUCAAAAUAUUGAUUAUCUUCAGACAAACAUUGAAAACCUUAAGUUUGCAUUCCUUACAUCCUAAAGAAACUAACACUAACUUAGACCAUUGAAUGUCUCCAUGAAAAGGGAAACCAUGUUGGUCAGGAAAACAGGGACUUGACCAAUUAUCUGUUUUCCUUUCCUUUAGAGUGUCGUGAUUUACUCUCUCUUCCAUUGGAAACUCACAGAACAUAUUUCAUAAGCAUGUUCCUAACCAAAACGACAGUUAGGUUUGCAUUAUGAAUGGUCGUCGAGCAUCCAACUGUCAAUUCCUAAUCUUUAGCUUGUCUACCAUUGGCCUUCAUCCUACAACGUAGGGCCUUUAGUUUCUCAACAUGCACAUACAAUAUAAAUCCCGAGGGCCCUUCUUUGUUAAUUAGCUGGUAAACAACACCAUGUGAAGCCGAGGCUAUCACGAAUUACGUCCCAAACAAGCAAACCCCAGAAAAUGAUUCUCAGCCUUUCAGUUUCACUUCAACAAUCAUAGCUUUUCCUGUAACCAUUCCAUCUAUAUAUAUAUCCCCUCAUUUCUGUCACAGAGUCAUCACACCAGCUCACCAGUUUUCUUUAUCUAGCAAUUCUCUUUAAUCUUUUAUUACUUGAAACUCUUAAAUUUGUCAUCAGAAGCAAUGGCUACUCGUUUUCUUGCUAAGCAAAUUUUGCGCCGUUCUGUUUUUGCUGCAAGUAAAGCAGCAUCAACAACUGGAGAAGUAGUACCAAAAGGCUUCCUUGCAGUUUAUGUUGGAGAGACUCAAAAGAAGAGAUUUGUGGUUCCAGUAACUUUCUUGAACCAACCUUCAUUUCAAGCUUUGCUGAGUAAAUCUGAAGAAGAGUUUGGCUUUGAUCAUCCUAUGGGUGGUUUGACAAUUCCAUGCAGAGAAGAGACUUUCAUUAACGUCACUUCCCAGUUGAACGGGUAAGAAUAGGCAAGACAGUCCAUUGAAGAUUGCCUAUAAUGGAAGAUGGAUGACUCAUCGCUUGUGCCCGGAACCCAAUUGCGCUCUAUUUUCAACGGUGGAACAUCUGCAAAAGGUCAUUCAUUUUUCAAGUACCAUGGGGUGAUUUAAAGGGGAGAUUUAUCGUUUACGCUGGACAAAGCCAAAAGAGACGCUUCCAAGUCCCAAUUCCAUGGUUGAGCACUUGAAAAAUUCGGAUCAAAAUAGGCCUGGCAAUGCCUCAUGAGAGACAAGAGCCAGGGAAGGUGAAAACAACUGGACAUAAUCUAUUCAAAUUAGCCAUGAACCAAGAAUCAUAUUGUAAUUUUGUAUUUUUCUGAAAUGAGAACAAGAAAAUUUUAUUCUAUUCAUUUAUCAAUUGCAAAUAUCAAAAUCUCUGUUUCCGUGUUAUAAGCACUCGCAUGAGUUAGCUAACUCAUCACAAUGCAAGCAUAUUUUAAUUCACUUAUGACAACCCUUUUUAAUGAUCUUCAUGGCCGUACUUGCUAUACCCUGAAGUCUACAAAAAGCCAAAGGUCAUGUAAGGCUUAAAAUUCAAGAUAUCAUUGUCUAGUGCUUUCUUCCCCUUUUUUUUCCUUUUUACUUUUUAAAGCAGGUUCUCUUCUUUUUUUUAUCUUAGUUUAUAAUCGAUCUUGCCCUUAAAUCAUCUUGUUUAAUUCUCAAUUUAUUAAAAAGAUGAAAGUUAGUUUGAUUAUCAGAUCAGAGAAAGUGUAAAUUAUUAAGGAGUGUUCUUAAAAAUAAUGAAGGUGAAGUGUGUGGUCCUUCCCUCGCAAGAUUUGUACCAUUGAUACCUACGCUACAAGAUCGUGCUCUAAGCCUCGAAUGUCGCUGAUUGCUUAAAAUGCAACCACAUGCACAACUGAAGAGAAAGUUUGAGGUGGCUGCCAAUCUAUCGUUCUAAUUUAUUUGUCUGCAAUAAUUCGAUCACUUCUUCAAAUUUUAAUUUGGCGGUUCGUGGUAGGUCUGGUUGUGACUGGAGCUGCUAGUAGGGCGUACUUCACGUGUACUUCACAGGGCUUUGUCUUGCAAGCUGAUGCCUGGAACAUUGAACGCCAAUAACAUUGAUAUUUGUAGUUUUUUCUUUUUUUUUUGGGGGGGGGUGGCCGGCGCGGUGGGGGCGGCGGGGUUGAAACCAAUUGGAUUUAAAAUUUCCGAUCCAAAGAAAAGGAACUUUAGAUAUUUUGUUGUAGAAAUGUCCUCUUAUAACCAACCAGCCAGAAAAAUAAAAAAUACAGCUAGUGUUUCAUAUAUAUCUAAACAUCUCUCUCAUUUAUCUCACAGUUCUCGGAUUAUGAAUUAAUCCAUAACAUGUCGUUUAGUCCAAUUAAGAAGCUGAUUGUUUCGGUUUAAUUAGUAGAAGUAGUUCGGUUUAGUCCAAUUAUGAAGAGAUGUAAUUUUUGUUCCGACUCUGCAAAGCUAGCUUGUAUGCCAAAAGAAGUCUUUUACUACAUUAACUUUAAGACUCAAUAUGGUAUUCUAGCUUUUUUCAUUAAUAAAACAUCAAUUUCAAAAAAAAAAAAAAUUAUGGCUACAGUGCUAAUUUCUUUUCGUAAAAAUACCAGAAUUGAAAAAAUGUUCAAAAGGGAAAAAAAUCUUCGAUUCAAAAUCUCUAAGAGAAUUUUGUGCCUCCUACCCUCUAUUUCAUCCACACUCUGGACAGAUGAUUUACGGGCACGAUCAAGUUUCAAUCACUUUCACUUAUGUGCCAUUUUUAAUCAAAUUGUUACAACCAAAACAUAAAAACCAAACAUGUUUUCCUUUUGAGUCAAGUCAACAUAGAAAAUCAUGGUAACCCAUGUUAUACGUUUCCCAUCAAUAUUAUACGACAGAUUAUGUCUCAGACUUGCCCACAAAUGGCGUAGUAGUACUACCCUUGUACUGUGAAAUAAAGCUUUCAACGGAUCCAAAUCUUCCAUAUUUGAGUGGGUCCUGAGUCGGUCUGUCUUGCCUGAAGGUCGGUCUGUCUUGCCGGAAGGGCUAGGCUAACUUUUCCUUCCAGUCUUUUCUGCUGGAAUUCUUGAUAAGUGUUAGAAGACAACACCAUGUGAUCCCCUCAUCAACCCAUGUCUCUCUCAUUACUGUUCAGACCCCAGCAACUGCCCCUUCACCACUCAUUCCACAUCCCCCACUUAAUAGAGGAAACAAAUCCCUUGUACCCCUUUCAUCUAUAUAUACAAGUACGAAUGAGUCCAUUGGUAACACAUAUUUUCACAUUCUCAAGUACUAGUAAAGUUGUUUACCAACGCUUUCCAGGCUUUUUGAGAUCUUCCUAGUCUUCCUUUCCAGAGGCACACAUCCAUCACGAAAAUCAUGGCUAUCCGCCUUCCUCGUGUUGUUGGUGCUAAGAAAGUUCCCAAGGGCUACUUUGCAGUUUAUGUUGGAGAAAACCAGAAGAGGUUUGUGAUACCAGUGUCAUUCUUGCACCGGCCUUCUUUUCAAGAUCUGCUCAGCUUAUCAGAAGAGGAAUUCGGCUAUAGUCAUCCAACUGGCGGUCUCAGAAUUCCCUGUGAUGAAGACAUCUUUCUUGAUGUCACCUCUCGCUUGUAUUGAUUAGCAAAGAAUUAACACUAAUCAACCUAUACAAUUCUGUAGAGCAAGCUAAUAACAUGUAAACAAACUGUUUUUCCCAACCUUUUUACUUUCGGGAGCAGUUAUAAUUCUCCCUAAGUGGAAAAUUAGAGAUGGUAUUACUGUAACUUUUACCUAACCAUCAAUCAAUUUGGAAAAUGGCAGUAUGAAAAGCAUGAUUCAAUUGAAAUUUUGUUUCUUAUAGAAUUUUCUAUUGUCUCUUUUUCCUAUUUAAUCUUUAAUUUAAUUGCACAUGAUUUAUUUUGAUCUAAAAUUACUUCAUACUACUAAUUUCCUUUUAGGUAUCAGUUACCUUCUCAAAAGAUUAAAACCAUCAGAAUUUUUUUUGGGAUAAAAAAAUAGAAAUUUUCUUCUGUAAAUUUGACAAUUAAUUAAGAUAUAUAUAAUGUUUUGAACCCUUUGGACCGACUAAUUGUCUUACAAGUGGAUGACAUAACUUAUAGCAGCUCCAAAGCAGGGGCUAAAUCAUAUAAUUUGGCCCAAGGCAAUAAAAUAAAAGAAGCGAGGUAGGGGGGCAAUCCACAUUUAACAGAAAUAUCACAAACUAAACUUUCCUAAUCUAAACCUUUCUUUCACAUUAUUCCAUUGAAACCAACAUGAUUCCAUUUCCAUCUUUUGGAUUCUCUAACUCAACUCUCGUAUCUGUAAACAAUUAAUUAGACAAAUGAUGCUUUUCAAAAGAAAUUAGACAAAGGACGCUAUGCAACAUCAUCAAGAAGCUUUUAUACCAUUUUGUGUAGAACAGGGGACUACCAACUCCUCUCUUUUCUACUUCAUGUGAUUAAAAUGGUAGUCCUUCACCAUAUACUUGGAAUGUGGUUGGGUAACAUCUCCAUUCUGAUGACCAAGAUCGUUGAACAAGUCAAAUAGUUACUCCUAGAUUCAGCUCAGGAAUUCACCCAUGUACUACUGCUGCAACAUUGUUCAAGGAAACUCAAAAGGAAAGAAAAAUAAAGUCCCUGACAUGUAACUUGAAAAUGAUUUAUUUUUUAUUUUUUCAGUCAUUCUGCAUCUGUAGUUUUUUAGUUGACUGAUCGAAUGAAAUUCAAUUUUUCACAAUCAUAUUUUCUUUGAUCUUUGACAAUUUUUUUCUGGAUUUGAUCAUUCUGAGAACAAAACCACAUGCUUGGUGGCUUAAUGUUCCCAUAAAAUCUUUCAUCCCUUGGAAUUAGACCCCAGUUUUUAUAAUCACUUCUCUAGGUUGUGUCGAGCAGCAUCAUCACAUGAGCCGAUGACUUCCUUGUUCUAAUGUCUGGUGGUGCUGCAAAUAAACAGGGUAUAGAUUGCAUGCAAAAUAUUUUUGCUAAGUGGAUUGCAUGCAAAUGUUGACUAUGAUCAUAUAAACUAAUCCACAUAAUUGCGCCUACGAUUUAUCCAUUGAUAGAACUGAUAGAUUCCAUUACCAGCGGCUGGUCCAAAGAGAUAUCAAUUCAGGGUGGGACAGCCUCUGGUUUGUUCUACGAAGUGGUGGGUUAUGAAUUAUGAUCAUGGAUCUCAAAACAAUAGAAAUAAUAUGAAAUUCUAUGUUUCAAAUUUGUUUACUUUCUGGAAGGCAAAUCCAUGUGAAUUGUGAGGGUUCUCUCAUGAUAUAUGUCAACGGACCACAUUCACAAGUUUCGCUUCACUUGUCGCAGGAAUGUAGGAUUUACUAUUUGCUCUAUAUAUAGUAAUAGAAAGGGUGCUUCCCACUGUCUGAUAUAUAUUUUUAUGCUUUAGCUAUUAAGCAGCCUUAGCUUGUUUAUGCUAAGCAAAUUAUCCAAAGAGUGACUGCAGCUUCAGAAAUACCAAAAGGCCACCUUGCUGUUUAUGUUGGUGAAUCCCAAAAGAGGCGCUAUCUGAAUCCAGUUUCAUUCUUGAAGAACCCUUCAUUUUAAGAACUGCUAAAUCAGGCAGAAGCGGAGUUUGGCUUUGAUCAUCACUCGGUGGUCUCACAAUCCCGUGUGCAGAAGAAGCCUUCAUUGAACUUGCUUGUACUUUGAAUGGCUCAUGAGAGGCAACACAGAUACGAUGAUGGCUAGUCUAGAAAACAAUGACUCUCUGACUUUUUUGACUGAAAAGCUCGACCCCAGUUUCGCAUCGAGAGUAUUACGUACUCCAACUUAUUGUAAAUUUCUCUAUUUUUUUUAUUUAAUUUUUUCUGUCAAGGAAAAUUAUAGUCAACAUUCACCACCCGAAGAUGAAUGAACUUUUUUUCUUCAGUUUUGACCUCUCUUUCUAUCUUUGUUUUCUUUUUAAAUAAUGUCUAUAUAAUGUAUGGAUGUCAUUAUGAUGUAUAUUUUGCCAUUCACUACUACAAUUCUAUGUCUCAUUCUUCUACCAAAACUAGAUCCAAUUUACAGGUCACAUAACUUUUUACAGAGAGUGAAUUUUUCUUGAUGCUCUCAAAUCUGUCCUUAAUUACAUUACAACUAAUAUUUUUUUGGGUUUUGAUCUUACAUAUUAUCCAGAGUUUGGUAAACAAAGAUGUGAGAACGAGGUUUUUAUAGUCAAUAUAUGCAGAUAACGCAACAAAUAUGCUCAGAAAUGUGGGUUAAAACAGGAGUCUUCUGUACAAUCAAAUAAUAAAAAAAGCGAUUCUUCUGAAAGGCUACCCAUAUAGUUGGCGACAUGUACCAGAAAUUUCGUGAUUCGUCAGACUUAAUCAUUCCCUCCCAGGGCACAACUUGAUUGCAGAAAGACAUAGACAACAAUUAGAAUAAAAGGCAAUCAGUUGGGUUCUGAUGAGGUCUGAUUGUAGCUUGUAGGACACACUUAAGGCGCUCUUCAGAAAGGUUUGUCUUACAAGUUAAUCCGCCGAAGGAACACAUGCAUGUGAUUUGAGUUGGGACAUGUUAUAAACACUCCUUUAGCGGCUGCUAGCUUUGGUGUUUGUUACUGUUUAAGCAUCUUGUAUGGCUGUAUAAAUGCCUUGGAAAAUGUCCAGCAAGAUUGCUUAAAUCUUCAGGAGGACCACAAAGCUAGUCCAACUGGAUGGUCUAUUGAUAUGAACAAACGACAAUUAAGUCAGGGCCGAUGACCAAUUUAUGCAGACAGAAUUUCGUAUGUAGAGGUCUGUUAGGUCGACCCCAAAUAUAUUUAUAUCACAUGUGUAUUUACUAUCUUAUAUCUCCUUGACUUCAAGUGGGUCAUUCUUCUAGGAUUGCUGGGCAAUAAUGCAUUCUAACCAAUGUACAGUCUCAAUAGUCAUUUAUUUCUUGAUGAUUUGUUGGAAGACACAGCCAUGUGAUUCUGAGCUUCGUAUGUCUUUCAAUCAAACCCCACCAGAAUGCAUCUUGACCACUCAAUCUGCAGGUCAUUAGUUUCCUAUAUACAUUCUUGCAUCUAUAUAUACAAGUGCAUUAUCCACACCGCAACCAAGGCAUUCUCACAUCCUCCUCUACUAGCAAAUCCUAGCACUCUAGUUUCAAGUCUUCUCUGAUCUUCUUUGUUCCCCAAAUUACAAUCGGAAAUGACUAUCCGUGUGCCUAGAAUUAUGCACGCUAAGCAGAUUCUUCGUCAAUCUAAACUGUUUGCAAAUCAAGCAGCCUCCACCUCAUCGGAUGUUCCGAAAGGAUUCGUUGCAGUUUAUGUUGGGGAGAGCCAAAAGAAGCGAUUUGUAGUUCCAAUUUCAGUCCUGAAUCAACCUUCAUUUCAGAAAUUGUUAAGUAUUGCUGAGGAAGAAUUCGGAUUCAAUCAUCCUAUGGGUGGUCUCACAAUUCCUUGCAGAGAAGAAGUCUUCAUUG